UACGUAGGGUGCAAGCGUUGUCCGGAAUUAUUGGGCGUAAAGGGCUCGUAGGCGGUUUGUCGCGUCUGCUGUGAAAACUGGAGGCUCAACCUCCAGCCUGCAGUGGGGUACGGGCAGACUAGAGUGCGGUAGGGGGAGAUUGGAAUUCCUGGUGUAGCGGUGGAAUGCGCAGAUAUCAGGAGGAACACCGAUGGCGAAGGCAGAUCUCUGGGCCGUAACUGACGCUGAGGGAGCGAAAAGCAUGGGGGAGCGAACAGG
rnacentral:rRNA from 1 species